rnacentral:rRNA from 1 species
AUUGAACGCUGGCGGCAUGCUUUACACAUGCAAGUCGAACGGUAACAGGCCUUCGGGCGCUGACGAGUGGCGAACGGGUGAGUAAUGCAUCGGAACGUGCCCAGAGGUGGGGGAUAACGCAGCGAAAGCUGUGCUAAUACCGCAUAUUAUCUGAGGAUGAAAGCGGGGGACUAAGCAGCAAUGUUUGGCCUCGCGCCUUUGGAGCGGCCGAUGUCAGAUUAGGUAGUUGGUGGGGUAAAGGCCUACCAAGCCGACGAUCUGUAGCUGGUCUGAGAGGACGACCAGCCACACUGGGACUGAGACACGGCCCAGACUCCUACGGGAGGCAGCAGUGGGGAAUUUUGGACAAUGGGCGCAAGCCUGAUCCAGCAAUGCCGCGUGCAGGAAGAAGGCCUUCGGUUGUAAACUAGCUUUGUACGGUAACGAAAAGGUACUCUCUUAAUACGGGGGGACGUCGAUGACGGUACCGUAA